UAAUAAUAAUAAUAAUAAUGAUGAUGAUGAUGAUCGAUCAUCAUCAUCAUCAUCAUUUGUAAUA
rnacentral:miRNA from 1 species